rnacentral:lncRNA from 1 species
UAAAAGAUGGGUGGAUAUGGAUAUGGAUUUAGAUAUUAAAAUAGAUACAGAUCUACUCCAGAUCCGUCUUAGAUCCGCACUAGAUCAGCACAUCAAUAUCCAAAUCCGAUCCAAAUUUAUUGGAUCAGAUCCAAUCCAUUGCCAUCCAUAUCCGCGAGUAGCCUUCUUGUUUUCUUUUUUUCGGCCGACAAUCACAAUAUUGCUAAGAAAUGAAUAUAUGGUCUUUGCCUCUUUUUCCAUAAUUACAUGAAAUCAGGAUCAAGUUUCAAAAUUUAGAUAUUUGCGAUUUUUUAAAUUUCA